UACGUAGGGGGCUAGCGUUGUCCGGAAUCAUUGGGCGUAAAGAGCGUGUAGGCGGCUUGGCAAGUCUGGUGUGAAAUCUUGCGGCUCAACCGCAAGCGGUCACUGGAAACUGCCUCGCUAGAGUCCGGAAGAGGAGAGCGGAAUUCCUGGUGUAGCGGUGGAAUGCGCAGAUAUCAGGAGGAACACCGGUGGCGAAGGCGGGUCUCUGGGCCGAAACUGACGCUGAGGAGCGAAAGCGUGGGGAGCAAACAGG
rnacentral:rRNA from 1 species